UGGUGUUUUCAAUCUACUGGGUGACUGUUGCAGUAAGGAAAAGAUCGUCUCCCAUCACUUGUCAGCCGUUUUCAAUCUCAGAAAAGAACUCGAAGCCGCCAUUGACGUGUUUCCAAGCUCUGCGUCGAGGUCCAAACGACAUUAUGGUCAAGCCAAGGAGGGAUUCUCGAGAAGAACGACCCUCCUAUUUGAAGCCUUCAACUUUGUUUCUUUUCUCUCUGGUUUUGACCCGUAGCCGCUUAAUCUCCAUGCCUCAACCGAUCGUUAGUUGAAGUUAGAAGUUGCUUGGAUUUUGAUCAAAUUAAAAACCCAAGCUUGGAUUUGGCAUUGUUUUGCUUAUGAAAGUUUGGUAGAAUUUUUUUGUUAAUCUGCUUGUGAAUGUGCAUUGAGGGAUUUUAUUUUUGAUUGAGAUUGUGGAGGGGCAGUACCGAGCUCUAUGGGAAGUAGAAUAUGUAGAUUGCGGGUAAUCUCAGACUGGUGGAUUUGGGAGCGAUCACUGAUCCCAAAUUCUUUCUCAAUUUCAUAUAUGUUCUUCUAGGCAGGCAAAGAGGGUCUUGUGCUGCCCACACCUACCUAUGAUUUUGGCAGGAGUUUAGCUUGCAUGGAAGCCUCGGAUGACCGUCUCUCUAUCUUCUCUACUUAUCAUUUUCUCACCAAUUCCACCUUUGAGUUUUGAAAGCACAGGUUAGUGCAAUUCAUUUGAUAAUUGGGGCUCUCCAGAGGAUGCAUUUAUUUGGUGUUGAGAACAGAGAUACUUUAAUUCACAAUGCCAUGGGUUAAGGAUGUUUAAGGCCAUGACGCACCAAUACAAGGGCUUGCUAAUUCAAUAGCUGGACCUUUUGUAUACAGUAUAAUGACUCGGCUACAAUAUUUGCUUUUUGAAACAAAGGGAGUUGGAAUCAGAUCGCAUAGAAAAGUUGCCGGAGGUAGCAGAUGCAGCAUGGAGAGGAACAUGCAGAGAUUUAGGUUUUUUGAUGUUGUAUUAUAUUUGAAAUUGUAUACGAAUUGUACAAUACAUUCUAUAAAUACGUGGUUGUGGCUAGACCAAAUUGUUAUUUUUUUAUAUAUAUACUCCAAAUUUUGCCACUGAUGUUGGUGGCAUUGAAAAAACACACUGAUUCUGUAACAGUGGGAAAGAAAAAGGUUUAUUGCUGCAUUGGGUUUUGGUAUGCCACUGAUGUUUUAUCAGUGUAGAUUGCCCCAAUAGCACCUGCAAUAGAGGGGACUGAUUCUUC